rnacentral:rRNA from 1 species
CUCAGGCCAGCAUCAGUUUGCUUCGGGGGAUAAAGGCUUUGGGAAUGUGGCUCCUCCGGGAGUGUUAUAGCCCAUUGCAUAAUACCCUGGGGCGGACUGAGGUUCGCGCAUUCGUGCAAGGAUGCUGGCGUAAUGGUCAUCAGCGA